rnacentral:rRNA from 2 species
UCGAGGGGCAGCAUGGUCUUAGCUUGCUAAGGCUGAUGGCGACCGGCGCACGGGUGAGUAACACGUAUCCAACCUGCCGUCUACUCUUGGCCAGCCUUCUGAAAGGAAGAUUAAUCCAGGAUGGGAUCAUGAGUUCACAUGUCCGCAUGAUUAAAGGUAUUUUCCGGUAGACGAUGGGGAUGCGUUCCAUUAGAUAGUAGGCGGGGUAACGGCCCACCUAGUCAACGAUGGAUAGGGGUUCUGAGAGGAAGGUCCCCCACAUUGGAACUGAGACACGGUCCAAACUCCUACGGGAGGCAGCAGUGAGGAAUAUUGGUCAAUGGGCGAUGGCCUGAACCAGCCAAGUAGCGUGAAGGAUGACUGCCCUAUGGGUUGUAAACUUCUUUUAUAAAGGAAUAAAGUCGGGUAUGCAUACCCGUUUGCAUGUACUUUAUGAAUAAGGAUCGGC